rnacentral:rRNA from 1 species
UGCGUUUGCCUAGACAACCAGGAUGUUGGCUUAGAAGCAGCCAUGCAUUCAAAGAGUGCGUAACAGCUCACUGGUCGAGUGGACAUGCGCCGACAAUACACGGGGCUAAGCGCGGAGCCGAAGCGGCGGGGCCGCGCCCUUUUUCGGGCGCGGCCGGUAGGGGAGCGUUCCGCGCAGGGGCGAAGCCGCCGGGGCGACCGGCGGUGGACCGCGCGGAAGCGAGAAUGCAGGCAUGAGUAACGAGAGAGGGGCGGGAAACCCCUCCGCCGUAAGCGCGAGGUUUCCUGGGCGAGGCUAAUCCCCCCAGGGUCAGUCGGGCGCUAAGGCGAGGCCGGAAGGCGUAGCCGAUGCCCAGCAGGCGGACAUUCCUGCACCGCCGCCGGACCGCUAGGACCGACGGGGCGACGAAGGAGGAUAGGCGGGCGGGGUUCUGGACGUCCCCGUGAAAGCGCGUAGGGCGGGCCGCAGGCAAAUCCGCGGCCCACGGAGCCUGAGACGCGAGACGAAGCCCUCGAGGCGAAGCCGCUCAUUCCAUGCUUCCGAGAAAAACCCCUAGGCAGGGCCGGCGGCGCCCGUACCUAAACCGACACAGGUGCGCGGGUAGAGCAUACCGAGGCGUUCGGGAGAACCAUGGCCAAGGAACUCGGCAAAACCGCCCCGUAACUUCGGGAGAAGGGGCGCCGCCGGGGGUGGAGGGGCGAGCCCCCCGAGCCCGCGGCGGCCGCAGCGAAUAGGCCCAGGCGACUGUUUACCAAAAACACAGGACUCUGCCAAGCCGCAAGGCGACGUAUAGGGUCUGACGCCUGCCCGGUGCCGGAAGGUCACGCGGAAGGGUCAGCGCAAGCGAAGCCCCGAAGCCAAGCCCCGGUAAACGGCGGCCGUAACUAUAACGGUCCUAAGGUAGCGAAAUUCCUUGUCGGGUAAGUUCCGACCUGCACGAAAGGCGUAACGACCUGGGCGCUGUCUCGGCCAUGGACCCGGUGAAAUUGCAUUAUUCGUGAAGAUGCGAAUUACCCGCGGAAGGACGGAAAGACCCCGUGAACCUUCACUGCAGCUUGGCAUUGGCCGACGGUUCGGUGCGUAGAGGAUAGGCAGGAGCCCGCGAAGCGGGGGCGCAAGCCCCCGCGGAGGCGCCCUUGGAAUACUGCCCCCAUCGCUCCGGCGGCCUAACGCGCGGCCGCCAUCCGGCGCGCGGACCGUGCCAGGCGGGCAGUUUGACUGGGGCGGUCGCCUCCCAAAAGGUAACGGAGGCGCGCGCAAGGUCCGCUCGGGACGGUCGGCAACCGUCCUGUGAGCGCAAGAGCACAAGCGGGCCUGACUGCGAGACCCACGAGUCGAGCAGGGACGAAAGUCGGCUCUAGUGAUCCGGCGGCCCCACGUGGGAGGGCCGUCGCUCAACGGAUAAAAGGUACUCCGGGGAUAACAGGCUGAUCUUGCCCAAGAGUCCACAUCGACGGCAAGGUUUGGCACCUCGAUGUCGGCUCAUCGCAUCCUGGGGCUGUAGUCGGUCCCAAGGGUUGGGCUGUUCGCCCAUUAAAGCGGUACGCGAGCUGGGUUCAGAACGUCGUGAGACAGUUCGGUCCCUAUCCUCCGCGGGCGCAGGAGAACUGAGGGGAGCCGCCCCUAGUACGAGAGGACCGGGGCGGACGCACCUCUGGUGCACCGGUUGUCGACCGACGGCAUCGCCGGGUGGCCACGUGCGGACGGGAUAAGCGCUGAAGGCAUCUAAGCGCGAAGCCUCCCCUAAGAUGAGUUCUCCCUUCGGUAAGGACCCCGGCAGACCACCGGGUCGAUAGGCCGCAGCUGCAAGCACGGCGACGUGCUCAGGCGAGCGGUACUAAUAGUCCGAGCUCUUCCGAA